UACGUAGGUGGCAAGCGUUGUCCGGAUUUACUGGGCGUAAAGGGCGUGCAGGCGGUCUGUUAAGUGCAGGGUGAAAGCUCCCGGCUCAACUGGGAGAGGUCCUUGCAUACUGGCGGACUUGAGGGGGGUAGAGGAAAGUGGAAUUCCCGGUGUAGUGGUGGUAUGCGUAGAUAUCGGGAGGAACACCUGUGGCGAAGGCGGCUUUCUGGGCCCUACCUGACGCUGAGACGCGAAAGCGUGGGGAGCGAACCGG
rnacentral:rRNA from 1 species